rnacentral:rRNA from 1 species
GAUGAACGCUGGCGGCGUGCUUAACACAUGCAAGUCGAACGGUGAAGCAGAGCUUGCUCUGUGGAUCAGUGGCGAACGGGUGAGUAACACCUGAGCAACGUGCCCCUGUCUCUGGGAUAAGCGCUGGAAACGGCGUCUAAUACUGGAUAUGAGCUGCGUCCGCAUGGUCUGCAGCUGGAAAGAUUUUUCGGUGUGGGAUGGUCUCACGGCUGGUCAGAUUGUUGGUGAGGUAAUGGAUCACCAAGGCGUCGACGGGUAGCCUGCCUGAGAGGGUGACCGGGCCAACUGCGACGGAGACACGGCACAGACUAGUAAGGGAUGCAGGAGAGUGGUAGAUAGCACGAUGGGCGAAAGCCUGGUGCAGCAACGCCGCGUGAGGGAUGGCAGCCUUCCGGUUGUAUACCUAUGUUAGCAGGGAAGGAGCGAAAAUGACGGUACCUGCAGAAUAAGCGCCGGCUAACUACGUG